GUGCACGGGCGUACCUAUGGCGAUGAGGAUUUGUCCGAGCCUAGGUUUUUGCUAAUUGCGAAUCUACGCAAUGGCCACUCUUAUUGGUCUUCGGAACGAUAAGGAAUUUUUGGAACCCUUCGAACCUUCAUGG
rnacentral:snRNA from 1 species